UUUGAUGAUGAGAAACAAUAAUAAUAAUUGAUUGAUUUUAAAGUCACCAAAUAUUUUUAACCGAAUCCCAAAAAGGAGGUGGUUCUCAAUUUGGAUGUUUGUUUUUGGUCGAAAGGGUAUAUUCCCCAUAUUUGUUAUUAGAUCCUGACCUGAUGAUAACGGGACCACCUCGGAAGUAUACGCUAUCAAACAAAAAAAGAAUCAUUAAAAUCGAUAAAUAAAUGGCUGAGUAAUCGCGUAACAAACAUACAAAAAAAAACGGUCGAAUUGAGAACCUCCGCUUUUUGGGAAGUCGGUUAAAAAUAAGUCGGCGGCGGCCAUCUUUCCAUCUUGGACCAGCUUUCGAUGAACAGCGAACUAUUUGCCCUUUCAAACAAUGAAAUCGUCAUAAAAUUUUGCGAUAACUACACCUAACUACGGCUCUCGUCAAAUAGCUUUGCCGCUCAGUUAAAAAGUUGGAAGUAACGAAUCGCCAUUAAGUUUGGCAGGUCUACUGGGGCCCAAUUCUCCUAAUUUUACUUAAGCGACCUUCGAUUGACGUUCGACUCGAUUCGACUGAGAUCCAAUCCCGACUCGAUUCCUAUUGAAGCGAAUGUGGCAUUCCGCUAUUUUUUCUUUGAAAUAAACGUUUUUAUCCUUUUCUGUCAUUCAAUAAUGAAUCAUUUUGUCUGCAAAUGAUUUACGAUUGCAAAAUGAUUGUACAGCAAACUACCGUAUAGACCAAAAUCAUCAAAAUAGCAGACUAAUCGCACACCAAUCAAAUGUCAAUCGAAUACGAUUGGUCUUUUAUUAGUAGCAGAAUGCCCGAUAUGGUUAAAACUGCUAUUACGAUCAUAUUGCGAUUCGAUUUUGACAUUAUUAACUUAGGAGAAUCGGGGCCCAGGAAUCCUGCACAUAAAACACCCGAAGAAAUAAAUAAGUCUUCAUUUGCCGUCUUCAGAAACCCUAAAAACCGAAGAUUUUUUUUAUUCCGGCUACAACGUAUUUUCUACCACUGAUUUUCUAGCAUUUUUUUUCAAAAUAAAUUUACUUUUCCUAAUUUAUUUUCAGAUUAUGGUAAGUACCUAUACAAAAGUGCAAUUUAGUAAUAUUAUAAUAUAAAAUUAUUAAAUCGAUUCUUUAUUUAAACGAAUCGGAUCAUUCGAUGCAAAACUUCUAUCACCGUCGCCAUCUUGUCUAUGCGUCUUCAAUUUUAAAAAAACAACUAAUGUAAACAAACAUGGCGAGUUCGAUCAGAAUUCCCGGUAAUUACGAUUGGAUUUUAAAAAGGUAUAUUUCUAACGGGAUGCUAAAUAUGAAAGGUUUGAAUGCGUAAAAAUAAUUUAAAUUUAUUUAGUUAUUUUAUUUAGUACUCACAAAUGUGGUUUGAUUGGAAAGAAAAUAAAUAUGAGCGUAAAUAAUUAGGAAAGUGUAUGACUGAUUCGCAGACCCCAAUUGGGGUCUAAACCGAGCUUACGGUGACAUUGAUGUUCAGACCCCGAUUGGGGUCCGCUACGGAUUUGACGGUUAACU
rnacentral:lncRNA from 1 species